CACUAAGCUGUGCUGUAACGUUACUGUCAGACUACUGCUGCGGAUCUCUACUGUACAUCUCUUUUCAAGUAGCUACGUUAGAAAAACAACGGAAAGUACUAACAAAGCAUAUCGGGUAGUAUACGAUAAAAACACUCCCACUCAUACAGGUGCGGAGAUGAUGGAGGAGAAUGGGCAGCAGUCGUCCGACGCCCAGCAGCCAGACCUCAGUUUGAGGAAGGGGAACUACGAGGAAGAGAGCUUCAGGCUACACAUGGUGACGUGGAACGUGGCCACAGCUGAUCCACCAGAUGACAUGACCUUGCUUCUCCAUCUGAACUCCCCAAAGAGCCCA